CAGAGGCCUAGGACCAGAGGUUCUUAGAGCCCGAGGCCAGCCUGAGGUCUCAGGAGGCUCAGAGGCCUAGGACCAGAGCUUCUUGGAGCAGGAGGCCAUGGAGGCCUCAGGAGGCUCAGAGGCCUAGGACCAGAGCUUCUUGGAGCAGGAGGCCAUGGAGGCCUCAGGAGGCUCAGCGGCCUAGGACCAGAGGUUCUUGGAGUCGGAGGCCAUGGAGGCCUCAGGAGGCUCAGUGGCCUAGGACCAGAGGUUCUUAGAGCCCGAGGCCAGCCUGAGGUCUCAGGAGGCUCAGAGGCCUAGGACCAGAGCUUCUUGGAGCAGGAGGCCAUGGAGGUCUCAGGAGGCUCAGAGGCCUAGGACCAGAGCUUCUUGGAGCCAGAGGCCAUGGAGGCCUCAGGAGGCUCAGUGGCCUAGGACCAGAGCUUCUUGGAGCCAGAGGCCAUGGAGGCCUCAGGAGGCUCAGAGGCCUAGGACCAGAGCUUCUUGGAGCAGGAGGCCAUGGAGGUCUCAGGAGGCUCAGUGGCCUAGGACCAGAGGUUCUUAGAGCCCGAGGCCAGCCUGAGGUCUCAGGAGGCUCAGAGGCCUAGGACCAGAGCUUCUUGGAGCAGGAGGCCAUGGAGGCCUCAGGAGGCUCAGAGGCCUAGGACCAGAGCUUCUUGGAGCAGGAGGCCAUGGAGGCCUCAGGAGGCUCAGCGGCCUAGGACCAGAGGUUCUUGGAGUCGGAGGCCAUGGAGGCCUCAGGAGGCUCAGUGGCCUAGGACCAGAGGUUCUUAGAGCCCGAGGCCAGCCUGAGGUCUCAGGAGGCUCAGAGGCCUAGGACCAGAGCUUCUUGGAGCAGGAGGCCAUGGAGGUCUCAGGAGGCUCAGAGGCCUAGGACCAGAGCUUCUUGGAGCCAGAGGCCAUGGAGGCCUCAGGAGGCUCAGUGGCCUAGGACCAGAGCUUCUUGGAGCCAGAGGCCAUGGAGGCCUCAGGAGGCUCAGAGGCCUAGGACCAGAGCUUCUUGGAGCAGGAGGCCAUGGAGGUCUCAGGAGGCUCAGUGGCCUAGGACCAGAGGUUCUUAGAGCCCGAGGCCAGCCUGAGGUCUCAGGAGGCUCAGAGGCCUAGGACCAGAGCUUCUUGGAGCCAGAGGCCAUGGAGGCCUCAGGAGGCUCAGUGGCCUAGGACCAGAGCUUCUUGGAGCCAGAGGCCAUGGAGGCCUCAGGAGGCUCAGAGGCCUAGGACCAGAGCUUCUUGGAGCAGGAGGCCAUGGAGGUCUCAGGAGGCUCAGUGGCCUAGGACCAGAGCUUCUUGGAGCCAGAGGCCAUGGAGGCCUCAGGAGGCUCAGAGGCCUAGGACCAGAGCUUCUUGGAGCCAGAGGCCAUGGAGGCCUCAGGAGGCUCAGAGGCCUAGGACCAGAGCUUCUUGGAGCCAGAGGCCAUGGAGGCCUCAGGAGGCUCAGAGGCCUAGGACCAGAGCUUCUUGGAGCAGGAGGCCAUGGAGGUCUCAGGAGGCUCAGUGGCCUAGGACCAGAGGUUCUUAGAGCCCGAGGCCAGCCUGAGGUCUCAGGAGGCUCAGAGGCCUAGGACCAGAGCUUCUUGGAGUCGGAGGCCAUGGAGGCCUCAGGAGGCUCAGUGGCCUAGGACCAGAGCUUCUUGGAGCCAGAGGCCAUGGAGGCCUCAGGAGGCUCAGAGGCCUAGGACCAGAGCUUCUUGGAGCAGGAGGCCAUGGAGGUCUCAGGAGGCUCAGUGGCCUAGGACCAGAGGUUCUUAGAGCCCGAGGCCAGCCUGAGGUCUCAGGAGGCUCAGAGGCCUAGGACCAGAGCUUCUUGGAGUCGGAGGCCAUGGAGGCCUCAGGAGGCUCAGUGGCCUAGGACCAGAGGUUCCUCAAGCUGGAGGCCCUCAGAGGCCAUCAAGUCCAACCUCUUUGUUUAUAGAUGUAGAAAUUGAGACCUAGGGCAGUGAGAUGACUUGGCCCAGGUCACGUAGGUAGUCAUCACUCCGGUGAUCCCACAGAGGUCCAAGCCCUGCCCUUUAGCUGCUCGCUUUGCCAAGCCCUGCCUUGUGACAGGGCAAGGGGGCAGCUUACCUUUCUCACAGUGCUUGCCAUGGAAGCCUCGAAGGCACUCACACGUGUAGGAGUCAUCGUGGGCAUCGCAGGAGCCCCCAUUGAGGCAGGGAUCAGAGUCACAGGGAGAGGGCAGAGCUGGGGAGGCAGAAACACCAGCUGGUCGAUUGGGCUUCCCUCUCCAGCCUCCCUAAGAGGGUGGCAAGCAGUGGGGGAUUGGCUCCCUGACUCAGGGCCUUUCAUCUCCUAUGGGUGUUGAGAAUCAAGAUCCUGUCAGGGUGCCAUCACUCCAUUUUGAUUCUAGGGUGCCCAGAAUUCACAAACCCUUCUGCCCUUCCUGCAUAGCUUUGUACCCACAUCCAUUCCCUUUCCUCCAUUUAGAAAUGGCUUUAUCAGAUCCUAGCCCUAGAGAUGUAAGGGACCAUCAAGGUGAUUGAGUCCAAUUUUCUCAUUUUAUGGGUGGGUAAACUGAGGCCAAGAGAGCUCAAGUAACUUGUCUAAGAUCACAUAGGGAGCAGAGCUGGGAUUCAAACUCAUUCCUGUGACUUCAAGUUAAGCCCUCUUUUCAUCAUCAUAAUUCAUAAUCACGAUAAAUAAAUAAAUUCCAUUUGCAUAAUGUUUUCACGUAUUUUCAAAGUCCUCUCCUUUUCAGCAUCCUGUUUGAGCCCCACAGAACCUUCUGGAAUAGACAGGGAAAUCAUUAUCCCUAUUUUAUUAAAGAGAAAACUCAGGGCCAGGAGGCUAUAGCGCUGGAGAGUGAUCAUUUAGGACUCCUUCCUCCCUGUCUUACAGGAGAGGAACUGAAUUCAGAGUGAUUGAGUGACUUGGCCAAGGUCACACAGCUAGUUAGCCCUGACACUAAGGCCAGAUCCCUGGCUCAGGCCCCUUUCCUUUAUGUUGGUUAUAUAAACCACUCCACGAACCACCUUCCUUGAAGCCUUUCCUUAAAGCAGGCUGAAAUUCGAAGCCUGCCUCCCCUUCCCACUCACAGUGGUUGGUGCUGUAGUCUGUGUGGCACACGCAGAGAUAGCUCCCACCAUACUCCAUGCAGUAGCCCCCAUCAGGACACUGGGUGUUCACGUUGCACGGGGUGGCUGUGACUUCUGCAGGGACGAGGAAUAAAUCACACCCCUCAGCCAUUGUAUAAUUGCCAUAAAACUAAAAAAAAAUCUUUUGAGAAAGAAACAUUUCAGGGAAGAGAGCUCGAUAACUCAAUCUAGAGGAUGCAUUGUUUGAAGAAGGCACCAUAAAGAUGCAUGAAGAAAACCUCCACAGCACCAGAAGAUUCAGCAUGAACUUUGGAGUAUAACUGGUUGAACUUUGGGGGUUGAACACAAGUAUUUUGAAUGUAAAUUUGUAUGCCACAGGAGACUGCCCCACUAACUGGCUUAUUGUCAAUGCACCUAGCAAACAUUGGUCUGCUCUCUCUCUCUCUCUCUCUCUCUCUCUCUCUCUCUCUCUCUCUCUCUCUCUCUCUCUCUCUCUCUCUCAUUUCCCUCUUAUCUCUAACUAAUUAAUAUUGUAGGCACCUUUAGCUAGAAGAUCUUUAGAGAUACAAGAUAGUUAUGUAAAAUGAUUCAUUGGGAAGACUAGUCUCCCAAAGAAUCACAGGGAGGAUUGUGAAAGGAAAUUCUUGGUUCUCUUUGUCUAUUCUGAGUUUACACUUGUGAAAAGGGAAUCCUUUAUUCUAUUUGCCUAGUUGGAGUUAAAACUUCGGUUAACACUAACAAGUAUCUCACUAGAUUGUGAAGACAGUAUUAACUCUGCUUUGUCUACCUUUUGAUUGAAUCAACAUAAGCUUGAACUAAGUGGAGGAGCUUUUCGGUGAAGAUGACUGACUAAGCAACUGCUCCUAAAUCAUGCUGGAGAUGCACUGCUGAAAGGAAGGCAGCCGCCCAUUGGGUAACAGGAAAGAUGCCAAGGUGGCGGUGCACCAGGCAGCUGCAGUGUCAGCAGGGCCAGCAGAUGUUGGGGAUGUGCUGUGAAUCUUAAAAAUUCUCAGACCCUACUUCAGAACACUUGGUUAAGACCACUCCCCAUUUUAAACAAUGAAGGUACUUGAUCAGGAAUGUGGGAACUCUACUUCACCCAUACUUAAGCAUGCCUUAGGGGAAGAUAAAGUUGUAAACUCUUUACUGAACAAUGAAAAGUACUUAACCCAUACUUAGUGAGGCAAAAGCCUUAAGCUAAGUCUAUUUUUAGAAAGGUGCUAAGUCCCUAUGAAGGUCAGGCAAAGUAAACUUGCAAGGGACAAACCAAACAAAAGAGGUGUGAGGUUUUAGUCUACUCAGGUGUGAAUUACUCAAAAAUUUAGUCUACUCAAAUGUGAAUUAAGAAUGGUCUGUCCUUUAGAAAACGUCUACUGUGAUUGGUAGAUGUGAGAACUUAGGGGAGGUGACAUAGGAGAAAAUUCUCUUUAAAAGGAGGUCAGAGGGUGAGAGCAGGGAGCUCUCAGAGAACUCUCUCUGAAGAGGAGAGAGCUUGCCAAAGAGGAAAGGGCUCCAUGGCUGAACUUAGUUGAGCUUGCCGAAGCUGAACUGGUGGGUCUCUCUGAACACUAGAGUCUUACUUGGACAAAUCUUGUGGUGAGUUGAUAAAAGACUGACUGAUCUCUCUCUUAAGUCUUAAGGCUGGCCUAAGCUGGUCUAGCCCUUUUCCUACUAUUCCCUCUUACUCUGUUUCUCUCCCUUUCUUUAGUUCCUUCAUUUGUAUUAAUUAAAAUCUCCAUAAAAACCCAGCUGACUUGGGUAUAUUUCAUAUUUGGGAAUUUUUCCCUGGUGACCACUAUAUUUUUUAUUUUGAAACCACAUUUACACAGUCACAAUUUAAACCAACUCUUUUAUCUGUAACAGUUUAUGCCUAACACUACUUUAAUUGUCACAGUGCUGAAGGUUCAGGAGUGCUGUUGAUUUGGAUUUGGAUGGGGGCAUGGGGCUUUGUUGUUUAGGGAAGUAAAAGAAGAGCAAUGGUCCUUACCAAAUUCACAGAGGAGACCAAAGUAUCCAGGGGGGCAGUGGCAUAUGGUGAAGUUUCCAUCCAGGCAUCUCCCCCCAUUCCGGCACUCACAGUCUUCAGGGAGCUCUGCAACCAUGUGAGAAGCAAAGACCCACCUUGAUAAGACAAAAGGACUCAGAGACACCAGUGUAUUUGUGGCAGAGACCUGGAAACAAGUAGCUGCCAUUGCUUGGGGGAGAUGACAGAGGAAUAUGAUGGAAUCUGGGUACAAGUAAGAACCAGCAACCAAUGGGGUGAAUACUGAGAAGCCUGAGGAGACUUCAGGGAACAGGUUCAGAACUGAAAAAAAUAGUAUACAGCACAACUCUAAAUGGGGAUGUGGAAACACCCCCCCCCCAAGAAUCCAGAGGAAGAGAUACAGCCAAAACCCCAGCAUGGCCCCAAAGAUAAGGAAGUAGAAAACCCCUGCCUCCAGGCCUUUGCAGAGUUAGGAGAUGUGGGGCCAUGCAAUGUUGCUUAGAGUUUCAGAAUUGUUUGAGGGAGUGAUCAGUUUUGCUGAAUUGUCCUCUUUUUCUCUAACAUUGUUAUUUGUUACAUGGGCUAGCUUUCUGCAAGGGACUUGUGGGGGAAGAUCCUGGGCCAUGUGGAAAAUGAAAGGCGUCUACAGAAAUUCCAAAAGGAAGAACCCACAAUGCCAAGAUCCAAGGCCCUCUGGCCCAGGCAUGUCCAGGAGAACAGCGAAGGGCUCACAAGGUGGUGUUGGGGGCAGCUGUCGGGGCACAAUUGUUGCCAAGCCCUUUGGCAUGAGUUCUGACUGAGGCCUCAAGCAGUUCAGAGUCCAGAUUAAUUCAUGAAACUUCUCCCAGAGACAUGGACACACCAGGGACCCAUAGCACACAGACUCUCCAGAAUGAUGGCCUUUACUGCUGGGAGGCCCCCUUGGCCUCUCCUGCUUGCCCUCGUUCCAUGGUUUGAUAGCCCAGAAGCCAGGGCUCUUGGUUUUAAAUGCUCUUUAGCUCCAUAGACAGCAUCAGAGUGCAAGGAAAGCCACGGUCCUUUUUUUUUUUUGAGCCCCAGACAAUGACUGCUGCCUGCCACCCUGGGGCCCCCAGAUCCUUUCUGAAGGACUUGGCUGCCUUCCCCUCAUUUGUGUUUGGAUGAGAGGGGAGAGAAGGGGGAAGAGAUGACGAGCGGAUUGAUUCCUUCCUUCUCUCCCACUGUCUUCUCUCAUACAUGGUCAUUCACACUCAGGACGCUUCCCCACACAUGCCCAAACCCCUGCCCAUGGCCCACGGGCUCUACUGAAGAACUGGGAAGGGGGCUGUGGAAGCAGCGAGCCUUGGGGUGGCAGCCCAGUAGUGGGGGUGCUCCCUCAGAUGGAGAAUGACCCUGGCUGGUUCUCAAUGGCCAACUGGACUUUUCUCUUGCCAGCGUUGCUCUGACUACCACACUGCACCCUGCUGGAGCAUGUACCCCACUUACUUUCUGCACAGUUAAAGCCUGUGAACCCAUCGGGACACUCGCAGAUGUAGCCCUGGUCCGUCUCCAGGCAGGUGCCCUCGUUCUGGCAGGGGUUGGAAAGACAGGCACUUGGGGUUCUGGGGCCUCCUACAAGAAGACAUCACAGAAGUGAAUCACAGGAGGACAGGCUGGGCCUCCAUCAUUCAUUUGCUUUUCAUGGAUGUCUAUUUUGUCUCCCCAACAGACUGCAUGGUCCAUGAAAGCUGGGGACCACCUUUGAGGCUUCUCCCUGUACCCUGAGGUGCUCAGCAGAGGCCUUGAAGAUACCUCAUCUGUGCUGAUUUCAGCUUCAGCUUCAUUUGAAAUCAAAGAUUUAGGACUCAGCUAGAGUUUAAUUCUGUAAACACUUAUUAAUCACUUACUCUGUUCAAGGCCCUGGGCUAGAGACAGUGUCUCCCUCCAAGAGCUUCCAUUCUCCGGAGGGGGAUCCAAGUUAACAGAGAAGUAAAUACACAAUGUCCUUUUGAGUGCUGGCCACUGCACAGGUCCAGUCAAGGCCUCCUGGCCACUGGACUGUGCUUUGAAAGGGGCCAAAGGUUCUAAGAGGCAGAGGGGAUGAGGGAGCAUCUUCUCAGUUGGGAGCCCAGGAGGCUCAUUUGACUGGAAAAAAACCCCUUCCUUACCUUUCACCGUAGAGUCAAUACUGUAUAUCAGUUCCAAGGCAGAAGAGUUGUAAGGGUUGAGGAAAUAGGGGUUGUGACUUGCCCAGGGUCCCACAGUUAAGUGUCUGAGGCUAGAUUUGAACCCAGGAUAUCCCCAUCUCUGGAUCUGGCUCUCAAUCUGUUGAGCCACCUACCUGUUCCCAAAGCCAUCCACCUUUUAGUAGGUUGGGAAAGUGAACUUGAAAGGAGCAAGGAAAAGCAGAAGUUGUGCCAUGUUUAAUUCUGCAGUUGUUUAUAAAUGGUGCCAAUGUCCAGGGCAGGUACCCGCACUGGCUGUACUUUGCAGAGGCUCCCUCUGCUCCCGUUUAUCUGGCACCCACCCAAUUGGCUGACUGUGUCCUGUCUAUUGCCCAUCCCUGGCACAAUGAGGAGCCUUGCAGCAUUUUAAGCCAAGGGCAUAGUCCAGGCUUGGCCCUUCCAUGAUCUUAUAGGCUCUGAGCUACAGCCGCCUGCCCAGCCAGGCAGACAAAGCCUGUGGUCAUCAGGCUCUCACUGCUUAGUCAGGAGCUGGCUAUGAGCACCAGUGUUUGUCCUCUGUUCUUUCUUAUUCUUCUUGGGCUAUUUGUCACCAAAGAAGAUUAGGUGAAGGCUGUGGGAAAAGCUCGUUUUAGAAUUUGAGACUCACUGCCCAAGCAAACUUUGGUGAGUCCCUCAGCUCCCCCAGGUCUCUGUUUCUCCGUCUGUAAAAUGAGGGUACUUGACCAGAUGCCUUGGUGCCUUCUUCCAAUUUCUGAUGUAGAGGCUGUGAUCUUUUCUGGUCCAGUGACUCGUUUGCUAGCAUUAUCCUAGACAGAUGUCCCAGUCAUUCCCUGAGUCUUGUUCCAAGGGACCCAGAGCAGCGGGGGAGAUUUCCUCCAGUGUGGGGCUGGCUGCCUCCAAACCCUUCAGGAAGGUGAUAGUCCCCUCAUCAGGGCUUCUUUGCUUAGAUGCUGGGGAUCGAAUCUGUGAAGCUGGAUGGGAAAAAUGGCAUCUUUGUUCUCACGGAUUCCUAUCUCCAUUGAACAUUGCUGAGAAGAGUGAUUCUGAGAGGGGUCCCAGGGCUUCCCCAGGCUGCCAGUGAUCAAGAACAUGUGAGUCAGGUUCUGAAAUGCUUGUGAAAGAGCAAAUAAGCCUUGUUCUAGCUUCGACUUUGCCUUACUGGAUGAACGGCACAAAGCUCCUUCUGUUGUCUUCCCCAUCUGAUAAAAGGGAGUCCUUGGGCCACUUGGUGAUGGGAUAGGAGGGCCAGUGAAGAUGGAAAGAUGAAGAGGCAGUGGGUCACCAUGGAGAGUUCCCAGGAGGCUUGGGUUCAAGGCUGCCUUCUUCCUUGAGGACCACAGACCAGCCUUCCUUCAGCUUUCAGCAUUUCAGUUUCCUCAUCUGGUGCUUCCUAUGUCUUGGCAGCCUGCAGGGGGCUCCAGAAGCCUGGGCGCUGACCAACUCUUGCUGAUGUCUUGGGAUGCCUUGUUGUAUCAUUGGGGGUGUGUGUGGGGGAAUCCUAAAGGCUUGAUGUCAGAGGACCUAUUUGGCUCAGGUCUGGAGAGGCUCCCCCCUCCCCCGCUGGCCCCAGAAGCUCUGGAGAGCCUUCAGACCCUAGACAGAGGAAAGGGUGCCUACUCAAAGUAGGUUAGCUUCUCCCAGAUCAGUGAUGGUUCUCAGCAUGAGGCAUGUGGACCUGCCAGGGAUGCAUCAGCAGCAGAAGAGGGAGGGAAGUCUGUCCAGCCGGAGCCGUCUCUGCCCUUUAUCUCUCUUCAAUGAACGCCACCAUCCACAGAACCAGGGAUGCCUUGCCACAUCCCAGACACCUCUCUUCUCUCCUCAAUGGGACGAGUCUCCAGAGAUACAGUGGAGGAUGCUGCCCAUUGGCUUCCCAGAGACUCCCCCCCAGGCAAGAUCUCUGAGCAGAAAUGCUGGGCCAUUUCCCAUGGCAGAGCCACUUUGUUGUUCCCACUUGUGGAAUGCAGAUACUCAGAGGGGAUGCUGAUUGAUUGGACAGUUAAUGCUCAGAGAAUGAGCCCUUGAUGCCAGGCCCUGACCUGGGCUCUGCUCUCAAGGAGCCGACCUUCUAGUAGAGGUACGGAAAGAUCACACUGAUGCCAGGAGAGGUCACUGGCACUGGGGAGCCAAGGAAGGCCUUCUGCAGAGGCUAAGAUCCCAGUCAAGUCUGGGAGGAAGCCACAAAGGCUGAAGUGAGGAGGGGCAGCAGCUAGGCCAAGGAUCAGUGGAAGGAACCUUAUCCGGAUGUGUAGGACUGAGGUCUCUCAGCCUCAGUCUCCUCGUCUAUAAAAUGGGGGUAAUACGAAUGAAGAAAACCUCUGGGGCUUGUGGUGACCAUCAAAUUACCUCCAUGUGUGUGUCCCCAUCUAUCUAUGCCCCUUUAUAACCCUUCAAGUGCCCUCUAAAUGCUGGCCGCUCUGGUCCUGGUUUGCUCAUCUGCUAAGUGGGGGGAUGUAUGGGGAUUAGAGGACGCCCAAGUCCCUUCCAGAUGCAGCUUGGAGCUCCCUCUCCCAGCCCCGGGUGUCUGCUUGGAGGGCACCUGCUCACCCUCUCCACCGGCCUCUUCCACAGUCAUCCCAAACCUGAGGCAGAUUGGAUGCCUGGGGGUGGGGGGCCUGGGGGCAGUGGAUGACCUCACCAAGCUCUGAGGGCCCCCCGGGGCGGCUUCUGCCAGCUCAGUGGCCUCAGGCCAGGGAAAGGCUGCUCCCGCCUGGGGAGGACCCGCCCCAUUCAAUUCUCUAAUUCCAGGCCCCUUUCUAGAACUGGACCCACCAUUCUGAGUGCCCUAGAGAUGUGCAUUUCCCUCAUUCCUGCUGCUGCGCCUCUCCAGGCACCUUUUUCAGCCACUCAUUUGGAUCUUGGGAUCCACUAGGAUCCUUCACUCCUUUACAGAAAACUCUCCUGGGGAUAGUCACACCGAGUCCAGCCCCAGACAUUUCCUGGCCACGUGACCCUGGGUAAAUCAUCCUGGGCUCUGGUCUUGGGCGGAUUAUUUGUGGACACCGAGUGUAGCUAUGUGCCCCGCCCUCCUCCUGGCCACCUCAUCCCGCCCAAUGCCCAGUCGUGGCCCCGGGGCGUCCUUUGAGGCUCUCCGCCACACCCUGCGGGAAUGGGCACCCGGUCCAGUGUCACGAGAGCCCGAAAGCCAGCUUGGCUCUGGACUUCGGGGAGGGCGGGCGGGCUGGCUUCGGUCCGCUGGAACGUGAAGGAAAUGCCUCCAACAUUUGGCCGGCCCGCAUGCCUCCUCCCUUCCCUGGGGUCAGGGAAGCCUGCGCAGUGGGCAGGAAGCUGGUUCUCGGCCUUCCGGUCUCCGCCCCCACGCAGUCACAUGCUUUGCCUCGUCUUGGAGCUGGCCCGCCCCAGGCUGCGGAGGCUUACCGUACUGACAGUUGUUCCCAUAGUAACCCGGGGAGCACGUGCAGAUGUAGCGCCCCGGGCGGAUGUAGUUGCACGUCUGCCGGUCCCUGCAGCUCCGGUCUUCGCAGGCCGAAGGAUCUGGGGCCGAGAGAAGGAAGAGAAGGCGGCUGAGCCAGCGAGCCAGGGCAGAGGGGGAGGGGAGCGCCCGCACGGAGGGAUGAGCGGUCAGAGAGCCCUUACCUAACUCACAGCGAGGGCCUGCGAAGGGCUCCGAACACAGGCAGCUGUAGUUAGCCACCAGGUCAACACAUUUCCCGCCGUUCAAGCACGGGUCCGAGUCACAUUCGUUUAUAUCUGCGGGGAGGAAUGGCAGAUGAGCUGAUAUUUGGGAGGCCAGCAAGGCAGGCGCAAUUGCACCCACUUUUCAGAGGAGGAAACUGAGGCUCAGGGACAGCAAGCAUCAGAGGCAGGAUCCGAAUCCAGCCCUCGGGCGUCUUACCCGUCUCGCAGUUGUCUCCCGUGUACCCGGAUUGGCACACACACACCGCAGUGCUGUUUGCAGCCUGGCACUCCCCACCGUUCUGGCAGUCCUUGGCAUCACACGGGGAUUCCGCUGGACAAGGAGACAAACACAGGAGGAAGGGCCUGGCUCAUCUGAGAUCAGUGAAUGGGCCUGCUAUGUCUUGAGCAUCAUCUGUGGAAGAGGCAUGAAAAAAGAGAGGAUUUGCAGGACAAGCCAGGCAUGCAGACCAAGGUGAAAGAUCUGAUCUGUCAAUUAAGGGGAAGACUCCAAACAGAAUGUUCCCAGGAGGAGGCAGUUGGAGCUGGAACUGAUUCUCUCUUUGGGGGAGACUGACCAAGAGAGACUGGCUUUUCCUGACUUGGGCAGAGAGAGACCCUUUGUGGCUUUUGACAGAGUCUGGACUUGAAUUACUCAAGCAGAGAUUAUCUGACUAAAGAAAGAAGAAAAGAAGAAAGAUACUUGUCCUCCAAACUCUCUGAUUGUCCCAGUCACAGCUGUGGCUGGACUGACAUUUCCCACACCCUCCUAAUUCUCCUUGUAGACUAGGGACACCCCUAUCCCACUCACCUUCAAUUUCCAUCCUGUCCUAUCUUUCCCAAUAAACCUCCUUACUGGAGAAAGAGAACAAGAGUGUCUUCUCUAAAUCUCACAGUUCAUCUUUGAGUUAUAUAGAAAGGUAACUGACUAAGACCGGGGGAGGGGAAAGGGUGGCAGGAGGGCUUUGAGUGGAAGACUGGAAGGUGAAAGGUGGAGGGUAGGAAAUAGUUUGAUUUAUUAGCCAUUAGGGAUCAAUAGGCAGCCCAGAGCAACCCCUCUAGCAGCAUCUCUCCAUCUAUCUCUCAGAAAUACUUCUAUCUCGGGACUUCUGGGUAAACAUGGUUGCAAUCUAGACGCAAAUCACUUCCUCUCCCCGGCACCAAACGAAAUAGACUACCUCAAAAGAGCAUAAAAAUCAUCUUUGGAAGAACAGAGGGACUCUACAGUACCCCACAGAAAUGAAGGUACAUGGGGUUUGAACAUUGCCACACUAUAAAAAGGAGGAAAAGCUUGUACAAAAACAUGAACUGAGCUGCCCUUCCCCCUCCUCCCCCAGGGAACCAGAGUAGGGGAUCAGAGUGCUCACCAGGACAGUGAGUGAGUGAGGAACGUCUCUGUCUGGGGGGGGGGGGCACACCAGGGUCCUUGGGAUCUAAAGACUGCUAGGGAAUGACCUCUCAGGGCAGUUUCAUGGGAGAACCCUGCGCACUGCAGAGCACGCAGACCGCGGGGCCCCUGCAAACUGCGAACAGUGUGGAGUCUCAAGAAUCUAUAAAAACUGCCUAAGGCUGAAGCAUCACCCCUCGCUGUAGUGGGGGGAGAGGGGGACACGCCAGGCUCCCUGGAAACUGACAGGGAAUACCAGAGAUCCACCCCUCAGAGCGGUUUUACAGGAGAUUCCUGUGCACCGGUGAGAAGAGACCACAGAGCACAGGGGCGGGCGAGCUAACAAACCGCGGAGGCUGGGAAGAACUAGUCUGAGGCAACCUAAAUCCACAGAAAACCCGCCCAUAUCACCCAGACCUCGGACCAAAAAGAAAAGGGGAAAAAAAACACCAAAGGGAUGGCUCUCAUGGCCCCAAAUCAAGCCUCCAAGAAGAAAGGGAAAAAAGUGACUAUUUAAAACUUUUAUGGCGGGAAUACCCAAGGAAAAGAAGAGAAAGAGGAUGAAAUUCAAACAAAAUCAAAACAUGCCCCACAAAAUGGAAAUGAUCCACAAGCUCUGGAAGAACUCAAAUUGGAGCUUAUCCAAAAGAUGGAAACCUUAUGGCAAGAAAAAUGGGGAAAAACCCAGAAAGAGGUCAGCAGCCUGACAAACAAGACCUCACAAUUGGAGAAAGAGCUGGAAGCCUCUAACAGAAGGGCAGACCAAGCUGAAAAGCAAAACCAGUCCCUAAAGACCAGAAUUAAGCAACUGGAAGACAGUGAUCUUGCAAAACAGCAAGAAUUAAUAAAGCAAAGCCAAAAAAAUACUUCUAUCUCAUAACAAAUAGGCAUCCUGAGGUUACCCUAGUACCUCUCUAGUCAGCCAAAGUGUAUUCCAGUUAUUACAACAAGAAAUAGUUCCUUCACAGAUUAUCUCCUUUAUUACAAUUAGCUCCAGCAGAUUAUCUAUUUUAUUACACAUCCCAACCCUAACUUUAGGGACAACCCAUGAAGACAGCUCCUCAGGGCGUGUCAUGAUAGGACUGAUGGACACUCCAGGUCCUCCACGGACCGAAUGACUGGCCUGGGCGGCACAUUUGUCUUUGCAUCUAUGCCAGGGCCACCUACUUUUGUCAAGAGUGAGAGACUUGGUCAGAGAUGGGUGACAUUUACCCCGGACUCUAGGAGAUUGGAACCCUCUAAAUUCGAAUUCAUGCAGCCCCGAAAUGAGAUUCUAUCAAGAUUUCCAGCAGAUGACAGCUGAGAAGGACUUUGGUGGUCAUCUGCUAAGGGCAGAUCAGUACAAGAUGGAAGAGGCACCAGAGCCAGGCAGGAAAGGCUGCUGCUGCCCAGAAAAGUUUUAUCCACCAUCCCCAAACCAAGUUGUUGUUUCUGAGAAGAGGCUGGGCAAAGAGGCAAAGGAGCCGAGUAAAAAGUCCAGGAGGUAACUGAUAAAAGGGGAGGGCGGGUGUCCUAGGAUUUGGAGGAAGAAUGGGGAGGACCGGUGGCGAGGAAGCCUUCAGAAUAGAGUUCCUGUGAAAUCCUGGUGAGGGGGCAGAACUCACAGGAGCUCCAUGAUCAGGUCAGCUAACAGACACUACAAGGACUGAGAAUGUCAGCAAGGACAAGCAGCUGUGAACGGAUAGAAAAGCGGGGCACCGUCUCGUGCCAGGAAUGGUUACCCUCUCAAUGACCCGAACUUGGCAGGAAAUGCUGAAGCGAACAUCAAAGGCUUUUAAAGCGCUGUGGAAAGCUCGGCCAAGAUCAGAGAAGGGGCAGAAGCACAGCUUGGGGUGCCCCUGGAGAACCGAGAGAGAGAGAAGGAAGGACUCUUCUUUUUUCUGCUCCCACUGAGACAGACAGGAAAAAGGGUUGUCCGCGGCACAGCUAGGGGACGUCCUGGAAAGUGCCAGGACACCUGAGCCCAGAGCCUCAGUUUCUUGUCCGUAACAAUGGCUUUGGCCAAGGCCAAAUGAUCCAGUCAAAGGCGUCCUGGCUGCCGUCAUGAUCAUGAAUAAUCAGAGUUCCAGGGGAAGAGAGCACUUGGGCCUGCUCUGUGAUGUGGGUCCUGGGUCACCUGGCAGGUGCUGCAGCCGAGCUCCUCUCGGGGAUGGGCAGAGUCACCUGGUGCCCAGAUAUGAAGAAGACAGAGCUGUAGCCCGACUUCCAUCGGGGCAUGAUUCUAUGAAGCGGACGGUGUGCUGAGGAAGGGAUGUGGGCUCACAAAGAUGCCUUGUUCCCGUCUGUUUACCCCCCACCAUCCGUGGGGGCCCAUGCUAGAGCGGUGAGGGGGGCACAUGGGCCUGGCUCUCCUUUCCAUUGUUUUGCUGGGUUCUUGGACUGCAGAUGGAACGGAUGCUCCAGGAAGGAACACCUGCAUUUCAGCCUCGCUUUCCUCGGGCACCCGACGGACCGAAGUGCGGGGGGG